AACGAACGCUGGCGGCAGGCUUAACACAUGCAAGUCGAGCGCCCCGCAAGGGGAGCGGCAGACGGGUGAGUAACGCGUGGGAACCUACCUAAUGGUACGGAAUAACUCAGGGAAACUUGGGCUAAUACCGUAUGUGCCCGAAAGGGGAAAGAUUUAUCGCCAUUAGAUGGGCCCGCGUCGGAUUAGCUAGUUGGUGAGGUAACGGCUCACCAAGGCGACGAUCCGUAGCUGGUCUGAGAGGAUGAUCAGCCACACUGGGACUGAGACACGGCCCAGACUCCUACGGGAGGCAGCAGUGGGGAAUAUUGGACAAUGGGCGCAAGCCUGAUCCAGCCAUGCCGCGUGAGUGAUGAAGGCCCUAGGGUUGUAAAGCUCUUUCGGCGGGGACGAUAAUGACGGUACCCGCAGAAGAAGCCCCGGCUAACUUCGUGCCAGCCGCCGCGGUAAAAC
rnacentral:rRNA from 1 species